rnacentral:rRNA from 1 species
CUACGGGUUGCUGCAGUGGGGAAUCUUGGACAAUGGGCGAAAGCCCGAUCCAGCGACACCGCGUGGGGGAUGAAGGCUUUUGGGUCGUAAACCCCUUUUCUGGGGGAAGAAUAAGGUCAGGAGGAAAUGCCUGUCCGAUGACGGUACUCCAGGAAUAAGCAUCGGCAAAGUUCGUGCCAGCAGCCGCGGUAAGACGAAGGAUGCGAGCGUUAUCCGGAAUCACUGGGCGUAAAGGGCGUCUAGGCGGUUAGGUAAGUCACCUGUGAAAUCCCACGGCUCAACCGUGGACGGGCUUGUGAUACUGCCUGGCUUGGGUGUAGGAGAGGGAAGUGGAACUCACAGAGUAGCGGUGGAAUGCGUAGAUACUGUGAGGUACCCCGAUGGCGAAGGCAACUUCCUGGCCUACUACCGACGCUGAAGCGCGAAAGCGUGGGGAGCAAAGGGGAUUAGAUACCCCGGUAGUC